GAUGAAGAACGUAGCGAAAUGCGAUAACUAAUGUGAAUUGCAGAAUUCAGUGAAUCAGCGAGUCUUUGAACGCACAUUGCGCCCCCUGGUAUUCCGGGGGGCAUGCCUGUCCGAGCGUCAUUGCUGCCCUCAAGCACGGCUUGUGUGUUGGGCUCCGUCCCCCCGGGGACGGGCCCGAAAGGCAGCGGCGGCACCGAGUCCGGUCCUCGAGCGUAUGGGGCUUUGUCACCCGCUCUGUAGGCCCGGCCGGCGCCAGCCGACAACCCAUCAUCCUUUUCAGGUUGACCUCGGAUCAGGUAGGGAUACCCGCUGAACUUAAGCAUAUCAAUAAGCGGAGGA
rnacentral:misc_RNA from 1 species